rnacentral:lncRNA from 1 species
UUUGUUUUUUUUUUUUUUUUUUUAUUUUGGUUUUGGAUAAAUUACAAUAGUACUAGUUGAUUUGUGAUAACAUAUUUAUAGAUUUGAUGCUUAUCUCGGGGAGAGGACUAACAAGAGUUUCAAAUAUAAAAAGUGUUGAGAUUUUUUUCUUUUUUUUUUUUUUAAAUAAGAUGGUGAGUUUAGAUAUGUCAAAUUUUUAUAAUUUUUUUCCCGUUUUCUUGUCAAUUUGUAGAGCAUUAUGGGGAAUAAUUAUUAUAGCACUUUUUGUGGUAUAUAAUAUGUGAAAUAAAGAAGUAGUUGGUUAUACAAAAAAAUUAUUGAAAUUUGUGUUUUAAAAAAUUUUGGUAUCCCAACGUACCUGUUUUUUUCCCCACUUUUUAAGCAAGUUAUAAUGGAAAUGAGGAAUUUUGGGGGAAGUAGUUCAAUGCUUCGUUAGAAAAGGAUGCAAAAACAAUAUGCACAUCAUAGAAUGACUAACCAGAUAAAUGACUAUUUGGGGGGGGCUAUCCAAAUAAAUGACUAACCAGAUAUGCUGUCUGUAAGACCUGCAGGAGAUACACAAUUAUACAAAAGGAUGUCUCCAAGCCCAAUCCUUGUAAAUCAUUCAGAAAUCAUCCAGGAGAUGCUUCCCCAGUUGCUGGUUGCAUUAGCCUGGACCACUCAAUUCGCUAUAUUCAUGAAACAAAACCAUCUUCCCUUUUCCUGAAACUUCAACCACGUUCUAAGGAUAUAACAUCAAAUCCUUCAGCAAUGUCACUAAAUUUGGUGCACCAUACCCAACAUUUAACUUUACAUUUCUCAUUUAGCUGAACUGUGCGAAUAAAACCGGUCAACCUUGACGGUCCCCUUAAUAACAGGUUCCAAGUUAAAUAGUUGAAUUGAUAUCUUUUUUUGUCCUACCAAUAGUCCCGACAAGAACAUAAACCACCUUUGAAGUGGUGAAAACGAGUAGCAUCCCUUAAAAUAAUUUCUCUCUCCACAAGUUUGGAAAUGAAUUUAAUAGCAGAGUGACAGUCAUUACAAACUCUAAGGUUCUUCAUGAUCCUUAAAGUGGAUUUUUCUGGAGUAUUUAUCAAACCAAAUGUUAUAGCAAGUUUCUCACUGUGAUGUCUAAGAAUCUGUUCUUUCACUUCGUUAUCAAGAUCAUGCAGCACUGACUCCAUGUCUGGAACAAAACCCAUUUUUUUUAUCUCUUUCCAGAUUUUGUCCAUAACCCGGUAAAUUGCAUCUCUCUGUGGGUGAAGUGCAUCUUCUACCCCAAAUACAUGAACUUCACUUUUAAUCUGAAUCCAACUAAAUCCUUGCUCUUUCUUUACCUGUCUAUCUUUCAUUGACUUUCUGACCAAAGCAGCUUCUUGCCAUCUUCCACAGGCAGAAUAAGCAUUAGCAAGUGCUGUAAAGGCCCCACUGUGAUCUGGCUCAAUUGAAAGCAAUUUCUCAGCUGCUACAGUUGCUAGCUCUGCAUUCUUAUGAAUCUUGCAAGAAGCUAAAAGCGAUCCCCAAGCUAUAACAUCUGGCUGAAUUGGCAUGUUCUGAAUGAAACAUUGUGCUUCCUGUAGCAAUCCAGCACGUCCAAACAGGUCAAUCAUGCAAGCAUAGUGGCUUGUGGUGGGUACAAUUCUAUGUACAUCUUGCAUCAUCUUGUAGUAUCUACGGCCUUGUUCAACCUUCCCCACAUGUGUGCAGGCAGAAAGAACACCUACAUAAGUGAUAUGGUCUGGCUUAAUACUCAAUCCCAGCAUCUUCUCAAACAGUUGAAUGGCUUCAUCUGCAACUCCAUGUUGAGCUAAAGCUAUGAUCAUGGAUGUCCAAGAGACAUGGUCUCUUUUCCAAUUUAUUAGGUUGAAUAAUCUCUUUGCACUACCAAUGCUACCAGCCUUUGAAUACAUGGUAAUUAAAGCAUUGCUCACAGAUACAGACGAUGCUUCCAAUGAUUUCAAGGCCACUGCAUGGAUCUGCUUGCCAUGAUUCAAUGAAGCCAAGCUUGAACAAAUGCUUAGCAUAGCUGCUAGAGUGAAAUUAUUAGGUUUUGGACCUUCUCUUAUCAUCAAUCUAAAAAGUGCCAUCCCUUCGUCAUAAAAGCCAUUCUGCACAUAACCUACAAUCAUUGCCGUCCAAGCAACCACAUCACGUUCUUCUAAUGAGUCAAAGAUCACCCUUGCUGGAUUGAUAUCUCCAAUCUUGAUAUAUCCAUCCAGUAAAGCUGUAAAUGCUACAAUAUCUAGAUUUGAUAUUCCACUUUGGCGUACAACUUUUUGAGCAAUUUCAACACAGCCACACUUAGAGUACAUCGAGAUUAAAGCAUUCCCAACAGCCCCAGAAGUACCAAAACUGGUCCUAACAAUAUGACCAUGAAUUUGCUUUCCUGAAGUAACAUUCUGAGUAUUUGCACAAGCAGAUAAAACACUAGCUAGGGUGUACUUAUCAGGCAACAGGUCAGUGCCAUUGACCAUGUUGGAGAACAUGUCCAGAGCUUCAUUAUCAAAACCAUGCUGAUUGUAACCUGUAAUCAUUGAGUUCCAAGAAACAAUAUCACGUUCUUUCAUCUGAUCAAACUGAGCAAGUGCAAGAUCAACCUCACCAUGCUGCAUGUGCAAGGAAAUCAUCCAAUUCCAGCUUGAGACAUUCUUUAACUCUAUCCUGUCAAAUGCCACCUUUGCAGUACCAACAUCACCAGACUUUGAAUACAUAUUUAACAAUGAAUUUGCUACAGCUACAUUGCCACCAAACCCGAGUUUAAGAACAAAAGAAUGCACCUUGCUACCGAUAUGUAACCCUUUAAUUGCACCACAAGCUGCAAGUACAUUAGUAAAAGUAUAUUGGGUUGGAAGAAUUCUACUCAAUACCAUCUUACAAAACAUCCUUACAGCAUCCUCAGAACGCCCCAGUUGAUUAUAGCCCACGAUCAUUGUAGUCCACGAAACAGAAUCAUAUUCAGGCAUCUCAUUAAAAAGAGAAAUUGCUUCACGAAUCAUGCCUCGUUUUGCAUAUGCAGACAAGAGCGUGUUCCAUGAAGAUGUGUUUCUCACAGGCAUUUCAUCGAAAACCUUAACAGCAUCGGGGAUGAACCCAGAUUUUGCAUAUACAUUUAUGAGAUUAUUCAUCACAAAGAGUCCUAAUUGAAGCCCAGACUUGAUGAUUUGGGCGUGGAUUGAUCUUGCUGCUACAGGGUCUUUGCUUUUGAGACUUGUUUGGAGGAGGGAUAUGUAGAGAUUUGACUGAGAGGCCCAUGAUUGCAUUCUUCGGGUUUGGACUUGUACUAACUUAGACGAUUAAUUACCACUCUUAUGGCGUCUGAUUCUCAUUGAAAUUAGAAGGUUUCGGUGGUAUUUUGAAACUUAAUGGCUGAGAGUUUUGAAAAGCAAGAACAUGCGGGAAAUGCAGAGGAGGCUUUUAUGGCGCCAAAAUUGGAGGGCUCUUCCUAACGGUCAAGAUGCUUCCUUUAAAAUAUCUCACUUUAUAUAUAUAUUUUUUCCCCUAAAGAAAAAGUAGAAAUCAGAAAGAAAAAUAAUAAAGGGAUAAAAGGAAUUAAAAUAGUACCUAAUAAGUGAUGAAUGGAAAAUUUACAUAAUAGGCCUUUAAAUUGUAGUCAUCCAAAAGUUAUCAUCUCCCCAACAAAGAAUAAUAGUGUUACCAACACAAGUUGACUCAAUUGAUAAGAACGAUCACUUAUUCAUAGAAGGUUGCCGUUGACAUGAAAAUUGUAUUGAUAAGUGAUUUAUAAGAAUCUCUAUAAGCGAUCUAUGGUUCUGAAAGCACGCAUUUAUCUAUGGUAGUGAUUGAAGAGCCAAACUGACCCAAAUUUCUCUUAUAAAAUAAAGAAGAAUACUGUUCGAUUAAUUGAAAAUAAAUAAAUAAAGUAUACUCUGAUUUUCCAUCGCCGGUUUGCUCAGCUGGUUAAAUACUCUAAUGCCAAGGUCGGAAAACGAAUCUUUGUUUAGGAUGAUAGUAAAUUGCACUAGACAUAGGUUACAGUUCCUACUGCAAUCUUACAAUUUAAAAAAAAAAAAGGUAUUCUCUAAAUUUUCUUGUUAGUUUGAAGUCUUUUGGACAAUUGGACUCAAUAACAAGGAAUUCAUCUCUAACAAUUAGACAAAUAUUUUGGUGAAGGUUAUUGUUGAACAAAUGAACAUUCCCUCUACUCAAUAGCUUUCAUUUGAUAUAGAAAUUGGACAUAAUAUUUAUUGGCACAACAAUAAAAAAUGGGCAUAUACUAUUUCACUAGAGCCCUGAAAAAAUGACUCCUUAUAAAGUCAAAAACCCGCAGGAAAACCACCCUUUCUUGGAUCACUCACUGCCACAAGCUCAUUAGACUCCAGAUCUUGAACCACAAAUUGGCAAAUUGUCCCACCUGCAACACUUUUUAGUACAUGGCC